ACAAGCUGUAAGUUUGGAACCAAAUAUCAAAAAUACAAACUAUGGCGUCGUUUUGCCUGAAGACAGUUUUACUAUUAAUGUUCUUCACCUACUUAACUUCUACAGAUGCUCAAACUUGACCACCACCUACUAAAGGUGCCCGCGCUGCCCUUUGCGGAGCACAAUUGAAACAACUACAGGCCAGUGUAGAACUGAAGGUUGAAAGAAAGAGAGACAUAAGGAGUGAAGAUGAAAUUAUCGACCGAUUGCUGGCAAAGAAGAAUUAGGAGGAACCUUGGCAGAGACUGUUGAAGACAAGUGCAAUAAUUUAAAAAAAAAGGAUGAUUAACAGAUUAAGUGUAUAUGAUUACCAAAGUAUAAUUUGCAAUAUUUUCGGGUGGUAAGGCAAUUGAUUUAAAAUAUUUGAUCGUGCAUCCUUCGAUCCGGUUUCGUCUCACCAAAUGACGGUUCAACCGUUCAAUGUUGUCUG